CCUACGGGAGGCAGCAGUGGGGGAUAUUGCACAAUGGGGGAAACCCUGAUGCAGCGACGCCGCGUGGGCGAAGAAGUAUUUCGGUAUGUAAAGCCCUAGCAGCAGGGAAGAAGAAAUGACGGUACCUGAGUAAGAAGCACCGGCUAAAUACGUGCCAGCAGCCGCGGUAAUACGUAUGGUGCAAGCGUUAUCCGGAUUUACUGGGUGGAAAGGGAGCGCAGGCGGCACGGCAAGCCUGAUGGGAAAGCCCGCGGCCCAACCGCGGGACGGCUUUGGGAACUCCCGGGCUGGAGUGCCGGAGAGUUAGGCGGACUUCCUAUUGUAGCCGUGAACUUCGUAGAUCUUAG
rnacentral:rRNA from 1 species